GGAGAUACGAGUAGAGUGGCGGACGGGUGAGUAACGCGUAGGGGAUUUACCUUAAAGUGGGGGACAGCCCCGGGAAACCGGGAUUAAUACCGCAUGUGGUUAGUGAUGCAAGUUACUAACUAAAGAUGGCCUCUGUAUCAAGCUGUCGCUUUAAGAUAAGCCUGCGUCCUAUUAGCUAGUUGGUAGGGUAAUAGCCUACCAAGGCGAUGAUAGGUAGGCGGCCUUAACGGGUGGUCGCCCACACUGGGAUUGAGAUACGGCCCAGACUCCUACGGGAGGCAGCAGUCGAGAAUAGUCUACAAUGGGGGCAACCCUGAUAGUGCGACGCCGCGUGAACGAAGAAGCCUUUCGGGGUGUAAAGUUCUUUUCUGUGAGAGCAAUGAUUGAGAGCUUAAUAGGUUCUUGAUAGGAGAUAUUAUCACAGGAAUAAGCCACGGCUAACUCCGUGCCAGCAGCCGCGGUAAUACGGGGGUGGCGAGCGUUGUCCGGAAUUACUAGGCGUAAAGGGCAAGUAGGCGGAUAUGUAAGUCAGUUGUUAAAGGCAUGGGCUCAACCGAUGUAUAGCAAUUGAUACUGUGUAUCUAGAGUAAAGUGGGGGAAGACGGAAUUCCUGGUGUAGCGGUGGAAUGCGCAGAUAUCAGGAGGAACACCNGGAGGCGAAGGCNGGUCUUCUACGCUUAUACUGACGCUCAAUUGCGAAGGUGUGGGUAUCAAACAGGAUUAGAUACCCUGGUAGUCCACGCCCUAAACGAUGGGUACUAGUGGUUGGAGGGACAGUCCUUCAGUCACGCAGCAAACGCGAUAAGUACCCCGCCUGGGGAGUACGGCCGCAAGGCUAAAACUCAAAGGAAUAGACGGGGACCCGAACAAGCGGUGGAGCAUGUGGUUUAAUUCGAAGAUACGCGAAGAACCUUACCUGGGCUCGACAUCCACGGAACCCUGCAGAGAUGCGGGGGUGCUACUUAUGUAGAGCCGUGAGACAGGUGCUGCAUGGCUGUCGUCAGCUCGUGUCGUGAGAUGUUGGGUUAAGUCCCGCAACGAGCGCAACCCCUGCCCUUAGUUGCUAACGGUUAGGCCGAGCACUCUAAGGGGACUGCCCGGGCAACCGGGAGGAAGGUGGGGGGAUGACGUCAAGUCAUCAUGGCCCUUAUGUCCAGG
rnacentral:rRNA from 1 species